rnacentral:lncRNA from 10 species
AUAAUGACCUGGGGCAGAAAUGUUAGCCACGUGGAUACCUAAAGAAAAUAAAAUUCAAAAUCAAAACCUUGAGCACAGAAUAAAGGAAAAACUCCAAACAGAUAGGAACAAAGGACACUAAAAGGCCAAUGUAAAAGGAGAAGUAGAGAUGGCCAAUAACCUUGAAAAGUGAUGGUUUUCAUUUGUAAUCAAAUAAGUGAGA